AUUGAACGCUGGCGGCAGGCCUAACACAUGCAAGUCGAGCGGCUGCAGGGUGCUUGCUCCUGGUUUCAGCGGCGGACGGGUGAGUGAUGCCUAGGAACCUCCCUGGUAGUGGGGGCUAACGUCCGGACACGGGCGCUAAUACCCCAUACCUCCUGAGGGCGUACGUGGGGGAUCUUCGGAUCUUCCGCUCUCAGAUGAGCCGAGGUCGGAUUAGCUAGUUGGGGGGGUAAAGGCCUACCAAGGCGACGAUCCGUAACUGGUCUGAGAGGAUGAUCAGCCACACUGGAACUGAGACACGGUCCAGACUCCUACGGGAGGCAGCAGUGGGGAAUAUUGGACAAUGGGCGAAAGCCUGAUCCAGCCAUGCCGCGUGUGUGAAGAAGGUCUUCGGAUUGUAAAGCACUUUUAGUUGGGAGGAAGAGCAGUAAGUUAAUACCUUGCUGUUUUGACGUUACCAACAGAAUAAGCACCGGCUAACUUCGUG
rnacentral:rRNA from 1 species